AAACUGUAGAGAAGUGCUGCCUAGGAGAACUCUGUGUGAUGCUGGAAAUGUUCUAGAAUUGUCCUGCCCAAUACAGAGAGUCACUAGAUACAGGUUACAAACUGGAAUUCAGCUCAUGACAAAACUACAUUUUCCUCAGCCACAGAAGCGGAGCACAGUCUGCAGGGAGGUUAUGAGUCAGGAUGGUCUGAGAAACUGCUGCUGCUGCUGCUGCUGCUGCAGUGAUUCCCAAGCAGAAGGAAGGAGAACCAGAGCCGGGCCGACACGAGCAAAGCCUGCACAGAGUCCACUGCCUCCCAAUAGUGCCCCAGGGUGGGGACCAAGCUUUCAACACAUGGACCUUUGGAGGAUGUGCAAGAUCCAAACUACAGCAGUGUGCCACUGAGA